AUGUUAGAUAGCCAUGCACGUCUAAGUACAAACUAAAUGAUGGUGAAACUGCAAAUGGGCUCAUUACAACGGUUAUGAUGUACCCGGGAGUUCCGAUGGAUAUUUCCAGUAACACUAGAACUAAUACAUGUCCCUGCGUUUAUUAGUUUCGCACAGUCCGUCGCUGAGUCAUGGUAAACAGUUGAUCGACUCGACGUCCCGGAACAGUUUCCGCCCCAUCAGCUUCGAUGGUUGGGUAUUGGCCUACCAUUGCAACAACGGGUAACGAGGAAUUAGGGUUUGAUUUCGGAGAGGGAGCCUGAGAAACGGCUACCACAUCUACGGAUGGCAGCAGGCGCGCAAAUUACCCAAUGCAGACACUGUGAGGUAGUGACGAGAAAUAAUAAAGCGGGACUUCUGUUUCGCUAUUAUAAUGAGGAAUAACCAAAGGUCAUUCCGAUUAGCAACUGAUGGGAAAGUCUGGUGCCAGCAGCCGCGGUAAUACCAGCGUCAGUAGCAUA
rnacentral:rRNA from 1 species